UACGAAGGGGGCUAGCGUUGCUCGGAAUGACUGGGCGUAAAGGGCGCGUAGGCGGAUGGCACAGUCAGAUGUGAAAUUCCCGGGCUUAACCUGGGGGCUGCAUUUGAUACGUGUUGUCUUGAGUUCGGAAGAGGGUCGUGGAAUUCCCAGUGUAGAGGUGAAAUUCGUAGAUAUUGGGAAGAACACCGGUGGCGAAGGCGGCCAACUGGUCCGAAACUGACGCUGAGGCGCGAAGGCGUGGGGAGCAAACAGG
rnacentral:rRNA from 1 species